rnacentral:rRNA from 1 species
ACGGAGGGUGCAAGCGUUAAUCGGAAUCACUGGGCGUAAAGCGCACGCAGGCGGCUAGAUAAGUCGGGCGUGAAAGCCCCCGGCUCAACCGAGGAAUUGCGUUCGAAACUGUUUGGCUUGAGUCCUGGAGAGGGUGGCGGAAUUCCAGGUGUAGGAGUGAAAUCCGUAGAUAUCCGGAGGAACACCGGUGGCGAAGGCGGCCCCCUGGACAAGUACUGACGCUGAGGUGCGAAAGCGUGGGGAGCAAACAG